GAUGAACGCUGGCGGCGUGCUUAACACAUGCAAGUCGAACGGUGAACACGGAGCUUGCUCUGUGGGAUCAGUGGCGAACGGGUGAGUAACACGUGAGCAACCUGCCCCUGACUCUGGGAUAAGCGCUGGAAACGGCGUCUAAUACUGGAUAUGUGACGUGACCGCAUGGUCUGCGUUUGGAAAGAUUUUUCGGUUGGGGAUGGGCUCGCGGCCUAUCAGCUUGUUGGUGAGGUAAUGGCUCACCAAGGCGUCGACGGGUAGCCGGCCUGAGAGGGUGACCGGCCACACUGGGACUGAGACACGGCCCAGACUCCUACGGGAGGCAGCAGUGGGGAAUAUUGCACAAUGGGCGCAAGCCUGAUGCAGCAACGCCGCGUGAGGGAUGACGGCCCUCGGGUUGUAAACCUCUUUUAGCAGGGAAGAAGCGAAAGUGACGGUACCUGCAGAAAAAGCGCCGGCUAACUACGUG
rnacentral:rRNA from 1 species